AGAGUUUGAUCCUGGCUCAGAACGAACGCUGGCGGCGUGCUUAACACAUGCAAGUCGAACGCGAAAGUACCGCUUCGGUGGUACAAGUAGAGUGGCGCACGGGUGAGUAACGCGUAGGUAAUCUACCCUUAUAUUUGGGAUAACAUACCGAAAGGUCUGCUAAUACCGGAUACGCUUAUUAAUACGCGAGUAUGAAUAAGGAAAGGUAACCACUGAUAUAAGUUAUCGUAUAAGGAUGAGCCUGCGUACCAUUAGCUUGUUGGUGGGGUAAAGGCCUACCAAGGCAACGAUGGUUAGCGGGUCUGAGAGGAUGAUCCGCCACACUGGAACUGGAACACGGACCAGACUCCUACGGGAGGCAGCAGUGAGGAAUAUUGCGCAAUGGGGGAAACCCUGACGCAGCGACGUCGCGUGGGUGAUGAAGGCUUUCGGGUCGUAAAGCCCUGUCAAGUGGGAAGAAGUGCAUACAGGUAAAUAGUCUGUAUGUUUGACGGUACCACUAGAGGAAGCACCGGCUAACUCCGUGCCAGCAGCCGCGGUAAUACGGAGGGUGCGAGCGUUGUUCGGAAUUACUGGGCGUAAAGGGCGCGUAGGCGGCUGUACAAGUCGGAUGUGAAAGCCCACGGCUCAACCGUGGAAGAGCAUUUGAAACUGUAUGGCUUGAGUAUGGGAGGGGAAAGUGGAAUUCCCGGUGUAGAGGUGAAAUUCGUAGAUAUCGGGAGGAACACCUGUGGCGAAGGCGACUUUCCUGGACCAAUACUGACGCUGAGGCGCGAGAGCGUGGGGAGCAAACAGGAUUAGAUACCCUGGUAGUCCACAGCUGUAAACGAUGAGAACUAGGUGUAGGGGGUGUUGACCCCUCCUGUGCCGCAGCUAACGCAAUAAGUUCUCCGCCUGGGGAGUACGGCCGCAAGGCUAAAACUCAAAGGAAUUGACGGGGGCCCGCACAAGCGGUGGAGUAUGUGGUUUAAUUCGACGCAACGCGAAGAACCUUACCUGGGCUUGACAUCCCGAGAAUUUUCUGGAAACGGAGAAGUGCCUCAACCGAGGAGCUUGGAGACAGGUGCUGCAUGGCUGUCGUCAGCUCGUGUCGUGAGAUGUUGGGUUAAGUCCCGCAACGAGCGCAACCCUCGCCUUUAGUUGCCAUCAUUAAGUUGGGCACUCUAAAGGGACUGCCGGUGUCAAACCGGAGGAAGGUGGGGAUGACGUCAAGUCCUCAUGGCCUUUAUGUCCAGGGCUACACACGUACUACAAUGGUCGGUACAAAGGGCAGCGACCUUGCGAGAGGGAGCGAAUCCCAUAAAGCCGAUCUCAGUCCGAAUCGGAGUCUGCAACUCGACUCCGUGAAGUUGGAAUCGCUAGUAAUCGUGGAUCAGCAUGCCACGGUGAAUACGUUCCCGGGCCUUGUACACACCGCCCGUCACACCACGGGAGUUGGUUGUACCAGAAGUAGUUGGACCAACCCGCAAGGGGGGUAGGCACCUAAGGUAUGGCUGAUGAUUGGGGUGAAGUCGUAACAAGGUAGCCG
rnacentral:rRNA from 1 species